UCAUGCCAGUGAGUAGCCACUGCACUCCAGCCUGGGCAACAUAGAGACCCUGUCUCUUAACAACAAGAACAACAAAAUCCCAGCAUAUGUUUGAAACUGUGGGACUUUAACUAUACUUUCUAUCAGGGCUGCAGUACCGCAGAGUGGCUGAGCAUGUGGCUCUGGAGCCAGACCCCAGCUCUACUACUCAUGGGCUCUGUGGUCUGGGCUCAGAGUGAUCUCUGCAUACCAGUCCCUCCCUGUAGAUUGUGCGUAAUUAGUGCCCACCUCGUUAGGGCUGGGUGCUGAGAAAAUGAGACCUCAUUUGCACAGAAAGUGCUUAGAGUACCCGGUGAGAAGUUGGUACAUGUACUUACAAUCCUUGAGGAGUACAUGUAGCUCCUUUUUCACUGUGUUUCCUUUGGUAAAUUUAAGAUACACAUCAUUGUAUCUGAAGGUUAGAAGGAAGUAAUUGUGUGGGAGAAUGUAGGAGGUGAGUAAUAGAGUCGGUGUCUAUAACAUAACAUUAAAGCAGUUUGAGAAUCACUGAGCUUCAGUCUGUGUUGGGUUGUCUACAUUGUUAAUGGCGGGUACCGUCCCUGGGAAAGGACUGCUCCUGUCCCUUGCUUCGCUCAGGAGUCUGCUGGUUCUCCACUAGGAUACAGCUCAGAUUACACUGAGAUUCAUUAAACAUUGAGUAUCCUUUAGACACCAUUCACAUCUGUCACCUCAGCUCCUCCCUGUGGUGUUCGUGAUGGGAAGACAGGCAGUCCCAUUUUUCAUAUGUGGAGAUAUAGGGUCAAAGAAUUUAAGUGAUUUCUAAUGUUAAAUCACAAAUUUUGAAUCAGGAUGUGAACCUAAGGUUUCUGACUGCUGGGUAUCAUACUUCCACUAGGCACUGUAUGAGUGAGCCUAACACAUUCCUUAACCUUGGUCUAAGAUAGACAAUAAUAUAGAAAAGGUACUAGCUAUGGAUAAUCAGGUAUUAAAUUGUGUUGGUAUUUGGUAGGAACCCAGGAGUCCAGAAUAUUUCAUCAGUGAUGGGUGAUGAUGUGUCUAGUUGUUUAAUGCUAAUAUCAGUAGCCUGAGUUGCUCACCCUAGGAGAUUUUCUACCUCUUCUACUGCCCUGCUGAAGUUGCUCUUAAGCAGAAACUCUUUGUGGAACAUACUCCACACAGCUUUCUGAACCAGUGCAUAUCACGUAGUACCUUUAAAGUAAUACUUUGUACAUAAAUACUCAGCAAAUGUGAACUUUUAUUUGCUCUUGCUUCAAAAUUAGUUGCAAGCGUUGCUAAUAAAAUAUAAGAAAUUGAUCUAGUAAUGAGGUUUUUCUCCUUCAUUCUCAACUAUCUUUUUAAUCUAAAAAGAAAUCAAAGUAACAUAUGUACAAGGUUAAAAACCACAUAUGUAAAUAUUACAGAACAGCUUAUAAUGAAAACCUUGCCUGCUUUUAGAAAAAAUAUUAUUGUCUUCUGUUAACAUCAAUAAAAGAUGGUUUGUCGUAGAAGGUCUAUAACAGUAUUACAUUUUAGAGGAAAUAUAGCCAAUUUAGUACUUGUCCUCUAUAUUGAAGUUCACCCAUUUCAAUAAUGUAAAUUUAUUCAUGGUCUUUAUUUUCCUAGCAUUGAUAGCAUUAGAUUCCUUUAACGUAUGGAUGUAAUCCUCCCUAAAAAAGGAAUAUUGCACAUUGGAACCAUUUGAUUCACCAGUGGAUUUUUACUCUUAAAAUAAUUUUAGAUAUGAGCCCCAUGAUUUGUGAGAGAAAAGGGGAACAGAGUAGAAUCGUAGAAGUCCUGAACAGUAAGAGAUUACCUCCCCAGAUUGUUUAGCUCUGCAGAAGAAAAUAAAACUGAAGAGAAACAAGACAACAUCGUCACACCAGGAGUGGACAAGAUAAUGCAAGAAGAAGAAAAGCUUUAAAACAAAGCAGAGGGCCGGGCGCGGUGGCUCACGCCUUUGCCUCCCAGAGU